UACGUAGGGUGCAGGCGUUUAAUCGGAAUUACUGGGCGUAAAGCGUGCGCAGGCGGCUCCUUAAGUCAGAUGUGAAAUCCCCGGGCUUAACCUGGGAACUGCGUUUGAAACUGGGGGGCUUGAGUGUGGAAGAGGGGGGUGGAAUUCCAGGUGUAGCAGUGAAAUGCGUAGAGAUGUGGAGGAACACCGAUGGCGAAGGCAGCCCCCUGGGUCAACACUGACGCUCAUGCACGAAAGCGUGGGGAGCAAACAGG
rnacentral:rRNA from 1 species